CAGCCGCCGCGGGAAUACGUAGGGUGCGAGCGUUAAUCGGAAUUACUGGGCGUAAAGCGUGCGCAGGCGGUUCGUUAAGACAGAUGUGAAAUCCCCGGGCUUAACCUGGGAGCUGCAUUUGUGACUGUAUAGCUAGAGUACGGUAGAGGGGGAUGGAAUUCCGCGUGUAGCAGUGAAAUGCGUAGAUAUGCGGAGGAACACCGAUGGCGAAGGCAAUCCCCUGGACCUGUACUGACGCUCAUGCACGAAAGCGUGGGGAGCAAACAGGAUUAGAUACCCGCGUAGUCCCUGUCUCUUAUAC
rnacentral:rRNA from 1 species